rnacentral:rRNA from 1 species
GUGGGGAAUAUUGGACAAUGGGCGCAAGCCUGAUCCAGCCAUGCCGCGUGAGUGAUGAAGGCCCUAGGGUUGUAAAGCUCUUUCAGUGGGGAAGAUAAUGACGGUACCCACAGAAGAAGCCCCGGCUAACUUCGUGCCAGCAGCCGCGGUAAUACGAAGGGGGCUAGCGUUGUUCGGAUUUACUGGGCGUAAAGCGCACGUAGGCGGGUCGUUAAGUCGGGGGUGAAAUCCUGGAGCUCAACUCCAGAACUGCCUUCGAUACUGGCGACCUAGAGUCCGGAAGAGGUGAGUGGAACUCCUAGUGUAGAGGUGGAAUUCGUAGAUAUUAGGAAGAACACCAGUGGCGAAGGCGGCUCACUGGUCCGGUACUGACGCUGAGGUGCGAAAGCGUGGGGAGCAAACAGGAUUAGAAACCCUAGUAGUCC